GAUGAACGCUGGCGGCGUGCCUAAUACAUGCAAGUCGAGCGAACAGAUGAGGAGCUUGCUCCUCUGACGUUAGCGGCGGACGGGUGAGUAACACGUGGAUAACCUACCUAUAAGACUGGGCUAACUACGGGAAACCGGAGCUAAUACCGGAUAAUAUAUUGAACCGCAUGGUUCAAUAGUGAAAGACGGUUUUGCUGUCACUUAUAGAUGGAUCCGCGCCGCAUUAGCUAGUUGGUGAGGUAACGGCUUACCAAGGCAACGAUGCGUAGCCGACCUGAGAGGGUGAUCGGCCACACUGGAACUGAGACACGGUCCAGACUCCUACGGGAGGCAGCAGUAGGGAAUCUUCCGCAAUGGGCGAAAGCCUGACGGAGCAACGCCGCGUGAGUGAUGAAGGUCUUCGGAUCGUAAAACUCUGUUAUUAGGGAAGAACAAAUGUGUAAGUAACUAUGCACGUCUUGACGGUACCUAAUCAGAAAGCCACGGCUAACUACGUG
rnacentral:rRNA from 1 species